UAAUUUGCAGAGGAGGCUUUGGAGUCGCCCCGGUCCAAGUUCCUUGGAACAGGACGUCGCAGAGGGUGAGAAUCCCGUACGUGGCCGGAUGGCUUCUCCGUGUAAAGCCCCUUCGAC
rnacentral:rRNA from 1 species